UGGGGAAUAUUGGACAAUGGGCGCAAGCCUGAUCCAGCAAUGCCGCGUGUGUGAAGAAGGCCUUCGGGUUGUAAAGCACUUUUAUCAGGAGCGAAAUACUACCGGUUAAUAACCGGUGGGGCUGACGGUACCUGAGGAAUAAGCACCGGCUAACUUCGUGCCAGCAGCCGCGGUAAUACGAAGGGUGCAAGCGUUAAUCGGAAUUACUGGGCGUAAAGCGUGCGUAGGCGGUUUGUUAAGUCUGCUGUGAAAUCCCCGGGCUCAACCUGGGAAUGGCAGUGGAUACUGGCAAGCUAGAGUGUGUCAGAGGAUGGUGGAAUUCCCGGUGUAGCGGUGAAAUGCGUAGAGAUCGGGAGGAACAUCAGUGGCGAAGGCGGCCAUCUGGGACAACACUGACGCUGAGGCACGAAAGCGUGGGGAGCAAACA
rnacentral:rRNA from 1 species